rnacentral:rRNA from 1 species
UACGAAGGGGGCUAGCGUUGCUCGGAUUGACUGGGCGUAAAGGGCGCGUAGGCGGUUCGUACAGUCAGACGUGAAAUUCCUGGGCUCAACCUGGGGGCUGCGUUUGAUACGUGCGGACUAGAGUGUGAAGAGGGUCGUGGAAUUCCAGUGUAGAGGUGAAAUUCGUAGAUAUUGGGAAGAACACCGGUGGCGAAGGCGGCGACCUGGUUCAUUACUGACGCGAGCGCGAAGCG